CAUGCUUCUAGAGAGACUGACAACUCAAAUCAACUGAAAUUGGAACAGACACUAGUGCCACAGACCAGCAUAGCAGUUCAAGGACAAAUCCAGCACCUCUAAAGACAAGUCACCCUCAAUCGGCAGGAAGCUUUGGAAAAGGGUGAAGGCUGUAGCUUCCAUGGGAAUGUCUGACUUCUAACCUACAGUGGCUCCUCAGGACUCAUCAUCUGAUUGACCAACUCUCUUACUGAGCUGAGUAUGGAUAGAUAUAAAGUCGGCUUGGGGUGUAUAAUGAAUGCGUCCUCUGCAAAAUGAAACUAGAAUUGUUCAGGACCUUGGUCAGCACCCAGAAAGGUUUUGCUGGUGGGGAGCCAUACAUUUCACUCUGAAAUGGCAAUGACUUUGCGUUGGAGGG
rnacentral:lncRNA from 1 species